GUGGGGAAUAUUGGACAAUGGCCGGAAGGCUGAUCCAGCCAUGCCGCGUGCGGGACGACGGCCCUAUGGGUUGUAAACCGCUUUUGCGAGGGAGCAAUAAGAGCCACGUGUGACUCGAUGAGAGUACCUCGCGAAUAAGCAUCGGCUAACUCCGUGCCAGCAGCCGCGGUAAUACGGAGGAUGCAAGCGUUAUCCGGAUUUAUUGGGUUUAAAGGGUGCGCAGGCGGCUUGUUAAGCGGGAGGUGAAAUGCCGGCGCUCAACGUCGGAAGUGCCUCCCGAACUGGUGAGCUUGAAUGACUCUGCCGUGGGAGGAAUGUGUAGUGUAGCGGUGAAAUGCUUAGAGAUUACACAGAACACCGAUUGCGAAGGCAUCUCACGAAGGGUUGAUUGACGCUGAGGCACGAAAGCGUGGGGAUCAAACAGG
rnacentral:rRNA from 1 species